rnacentral:lncRNA from 1 species
AUGGCUCAGUUUCUGUUAUUCUGGAGCACCAACAGUGAGCAAUUAGAAGAAAUAAAUAAUUCCUAUUGUGGAAUUUCAGAAGAGAGAAGGGAGAGGUCAGGGGAGAACCCAUGGCAGAAACGUCAGAGACCAGCCUUCCAAACAAAGAAAAGGAACAUUUCUUCCUGCCCAGAGCCUCUUUUUCCAGUCACCACCCCAGAAGGAAAGUCGACCAUGAGUUUGGAAUACAAGCUUGGAGUACAGGGUGACUCAGAUAAAUACAGUCAGAAAAACUGUGAGAGGGAAGCGGAGUGA